GAGUGCUAAUGUGCUUGCUUUAAUUGCAGGGGGUUCACUAAGUUCAGCCGUACCGAUUAUCUGAAAUACAAAUCUGAGAAUCGUAUUGUCCCAGACGGUGUCAACGCCAAGCUUCUUGGCUGCCACGGACGACUUGCUGCACGUCAACCUGGAAGAGCUUUUCUAGAAGCUGCAAAUUGAAGUUGCAGAAUUUACAAAUCUGUACCUUUAGCUUUCUACUUCCGCUGAAUGAUAUUUUGUUUCCUGAUAUCAUCUAUCUAGUUUUGAACCAUUACAUAAGUUGUUACCCCUCUGAACGUUUGCCUUUUCAAAGUAUAAUGAUUGGCUUUUAUUUGAAUGAUGAGUUUUAUUAUA